AUUGAACGCUGGCGGCAUGCUUUACACAUGCAAGUCGAACGGUAACAGGCCGCAAGGUGCUGACGAGUGGCGAACGGGUGAGUAAUGCAUCGGAACGUGCCCAGUCGUGGGGGAUAACGCAGCGAAAGCUGCGCUAAUACCGCAUACGAUCUCUGGAUGAAAGCGGGGGACCGAAAGGCCUCGCGCGAUUGGAGCGGCCGAUGUCAGAUUAGGUAGUUGGUGGGGUAAAGGCCCACCAAGCCAACGAUCUGUAGCUGGUCUGAGAGGACGACCGGCCACACUGGGACUGAGACACGGCCCAGACUCCUACGGGAGGCAGCAGUGGGGAAUUUUGGACAAUGGGCGCAAGCCUGAUCCAGCAGUGCCGCGUGCAGGAAGAAGGCCUUCGGGUUGUAAACUGCUUUUGUACGGAACGAAACGGUCCGGGUUAAUACCCUGGGCUAAUGACGGUACCGUAAGAAUAAGCACCGGCUAACUACGUGCCAGCCGCCGCAGUAA
rnacentral:rRNA from 1 species